rnacentral:rRNA from 1 species
UACAGAGGGGGCAAGCGUUGUUCGGAAUUACUGGGCGUAAAGGGCGCGUAGGCGGCCUUCUAAGUCGAACGUGAAAUCCCCGGGCUCAACCCGGGAACUGCAUCCGAUACUGGCCGGGCUUGAAUCCGGGAGAGGGAUGUGGAAUUCCAGGUGUAGCGGUGAAAUGCGUAGAUAUCUGGAGGAACACCGGUGGCGAAGGCGGCAUCCUGGACCGGUAUUGACGCUGAGGCGCGAAAGCUAGGGGAGCAAACGGG